GUGGGAACGUGAAGCUUCUCAAAGGUCAAAUGGUGAAAAAUGCCAUAGUAGAUUGCAGGUUGAGUUUCUCCCAUUUCUGAGAGGACUCAUCACACCUAAUUUGAGUAAUUUCCUUUUCAAUUUCCUGGGCCAUUUUAUUUUACCUCUGGCUGCCCCUUGGAUGAGUGGAUGCUGAAAGUGCCAGGUAGCUUCCAGAGUAACUGGUGAAUUGUGCCAAUGCUGAUCCAAAAAAUGAUGCUGACGGUGAUCUUGCUGAGUAAACUAACAAUGGUGACAGACUUGGAAGAAGGCUGUAGUACAAAGCAUUAAGAUGGGAAUGUCUAUAUCAGACUGUACAAGCUGCCUUGCCUCCGGCUUUUAGACCUUGCAGGACAGAGAACAUGAAGACUGCAGAAUCUGCCUUCAAAAAAAUCAAUCAAGUGGACAAUUUGUUAUAAUGACCCUCCUCUUUCCUUUAAUGUGACCAGUUAUUCUGAUUCAGUCAUGGACUGUUCAGGAAAUCAAUCCAAUAUUGGACAAAAGGAAAUGACAGUGGGCAUUUGGAGGGCUGGUUCUGGACAUUUUCAGAGACAUAUUUGGGAAUUGGCACCUGCUUUGUAUGAUGUUCCGUUCAUUGUGGAUAAAAAUGAACAGGUUCUGAAGUUAAGGCAAAUGUACCAUCCUGUGUUACCCCACCUCAUCUUACUAAUUGGGAGUGUUAACUUUGUUAUUAGCUUUGAUAAUGAGUUCAAUGUUUCUUAUUUUAAUUGUCUUUUGUCCAACUGUGUUUCUACACUGUAUGAUGGUCAACUGGUAAUGGUAGUACAUUAAAAAGCUUUUAUUAUGAUUCCUGUAAAUUUAUCUGAAUCAUGGGUAUUCAGAAAAAGGCUUACAAAUAUUGGAAGGAUUAGCUCACACUCUGUCAAAGAGUAAAUGUACGGUUGAGCUGAUGAUUGCCGUUGUUGCUCUCAUAACUCUUAUAGCCAGGGCUACUACUUCUGCAUUAGCUUAAACACAGAUGUACAGACAACCAGUUUUGUUAAUCAUCUCGCAGAAUAUGUAAUUAAUGCCCCGAGAAUACAAGAAGAUUUGGAUAAGCAGCUAGAACAAAGAAUUGACACAUUAUAUAGUGCAGAUCACUGGAGAUGAGGUACAAGGAAUGAAAGUCAGAGCCAUUUGGAAUGCCAUGGUUAAUAUCUCUAGAUUUGUAUAAGUCCAAAAAAUGCACAAUGAGAGUCAGCAUACCUGGACCAGAGUAAAAAGGCAACUUUAGUGUAUUUGAGAUAAUACUAAUACUUCUUUAGAUUUAUUUGCCCUGCAUAAGGAGGUUGUAAGUCUAAGAAAUGCAAAUCCUUGUUUUUGUCAUGAAUAACACUACAAAUGAUAUUCUGAAAGAAAAUUACAGGCUGUUUUUCCUUCAUAGUUCUCAUUCACUUCUCUCUCAUCAGGCAUAGCAGGACUUGGCUUUAUGAUCCUUUUCAUGACAUGUCUAUUACAUGUGCUUUUGAGAGAAAUCAUCAGGGCUUUUACAGAUGUCAAAGCAGAGUUACAUAAGUCCAGGCUCCAAAGUUCUCCCUAGCAGAAGUUGGUAGUCAAUGAUGGGUAAGAUCGUCUUGAAAAACUUCUCAACCUAAGAAAGGCCACAAAUAUAAGAUUGUUUGCAUGCCAAUGAUGGGUAAGAGCUAUGUUUUCAAAUGACAAGCUAAGACAGGCACAAAUUUCUACUCUGUGACUGACAAAAUGCCUCUUAUAGAUAAGAAAGAUAGAUAAAAGUCUCUCAGAGAGGGAUCAACCUAAGACAGAGUGUGAGUGCUAUGAUUCAUGUAUGAUGAUGGGCAGGGUAAAGGCCAUACUUCCUUCUAAAUCAGGGACAGCCUUUCUAAACCAAUAGGUGAUACAGCUUUGUCUUGUAUAGAUGAAGAAAAGGGAGACACAUGGAGAGCACUUCCUGAGUUAUCUUUGGCUGAUUUCUUGCUUGUGAUUAAUCAUGAAUGAGUCUGCCUGCAUCUGUUUUUGUUUUUAAUUAAGAUGUGCAUUGUAUCCUGCCAAGUUCCUCAGCUUACACAUAUGUUCUCAAGAGACUGUCCUAGCCUGAAGGAAAUGGCCUUUGUCAAGCACAAAUACAGUGUACCAUAA